UCGCAGACCUUCACCCGUGAAUAUUUUAAAAAAGGGGGAAGCCACCCUUUGCAGCCCACCACCUCCGGCCAGCCAUUUCCAGCGGCAGUCUGGCCACUUUUCCGGCCAGUAAGAGGAAUUUUCCGGCCAGUAAGAGGACCCAAGCUUGAGACCUACACCCACACUUCAUUUGAGAAGGAUUUGAGGUACAAGUGUGGUUCUUGAAUCAAUUCAAGAGAAAGAUUGAAAUUCUUGAGUUAGUGGAACUAACAAAGUUCAAGGUUAGCGAAUUGGUGUGAAAUAUACGUUGCUUCUUGGUGAGGAUUGCGUGUUUACUUCGAGGUGAGCCAGGAUCUAGUGGACAGGCUGCGGAUCAGCAGGAGGACGCGUGACGGAGGUGGCCUGAACUUUUGUGGUUGUGUGACACGUGUGUGUGGAUUUUUACAUAUGUAUGGUGUGACGUUGGUACGUUUUAGUAGUUUAAGUACAUGGAUAUAGUAUGGUUAUGGUUGGAUUGAUGUAUGGUGUUGUUUUUGUUGGCCGGGAGUGGUGGGCGUGACUAUUGUGUGUUUGAUGAUGAUAAGGGGGUAUGUGUUUGAUGGUGGACCUAUGGGUCAGUUGAUGUUGAUGAUAUUAGAAGUGUUUUUUUUUCUUGUAUGUGAUCUGAUUACAGGUGGGUUUCCUCAA